GCAGGGGCAGGCCCUCCUCCCUCUCACAGGUGCCGGCCCUCCCUCCGGCCCUCCCUCCGCAGGUGCCAGCCCUCCCCCCCAGGUGCCCGGCCCUCCCCCCUCGCAGGUGCAGGCCCUCCUCCCUCUCACAGGUGCAGGCCCUCCCCCCCAGGUGCCAGGCCCUCCCUCCGCAGGUGCCAGCCCUCACCCCCCAGGUGCCAGGCCCUCCCUCCGCAGGCCCCAACACCUUCAGGCCCCGUAGCAGGCUAGCACCGAAACACCGCUUUGUCCUCUGGACAGCAGGGACUGUCCCUGAACACAGCCCUUUACCAGCUCAUAGUUAUGACGUUGACGUUGGAGGACAUGUAUUCACCUUUUUUUUUUUUUUUCCAGAAAAAUCUUAUCACCAAAAAUUCUUUGUGAAUGAGCUUGUGUACUUUUAAAGUAUGGUAAUGAUCGUUGUAUUCAUUUUUUUUUUUUUAUGAUAGUCACACAGAGAGAGAGAGAGACAGAGACACAGGCAGAGGGAGAAGCAGGCUCCAUGCAGGGAGCCCAAUGUGGGAUUCGAUCCCGGGUCUCCAGGAUCGCGCCCUGGGCCAAAGGCAGGCGCCAAACCGCUGCACCACCCAGGGAUCCCUUAUUCAUUUUUUUUUUUUUUAAGAUUUUAUCUCUAAGUGAUUUCUACGCCCAAAGUGGGCCUGGGACCCACAGCCCCUAGAUCAAGAGUUGCAGGCUCCACAGAUCGAGCCAGCCAGGAGCCCCUGGUAAUGACCAUUUUUAAGUGAAGAUGUAAAGGAUACGAAAAGAGUCAAUGAAGACGGAAUAAGAAAACCGAAAGCGAUGGGAAUGUCAGAAAAUUGAAUGGAAGUAGAGAAAAGGGAGUGGUCCUUCCUAAAAGCCAACAGUGACACAAGAAAGCUUACCACCAGUUACAGAGUCAUGGCCACGUUAUCUAACCCAGGAGCUGUAUCCUUCACUGCAGUUCUCAAGGAAAGAGCACACUUUGGGAGUUUGAAAUAUAAGAGUUCUAGUACUCUCUUACACUCUUUAAAAAAGUCACUCGACAGCUUUCUCCUGUCAGGUUUAGAAAUGUCAACAUCUUUCUUGUUCCAAUGAAGGAGUUCUCAGAGUAUGAUUCUCCAUUAUCAUCAUCAUAACCUUUACUACUACCAUCUGGAAAUCUGUUAGAAAUGCGACUACGUGGGCCCCACCAUAGACUCAAUUAGAAAUUCUGGGGUCGGGGCGUAGCACUGUGUGUUUCGAUUGGAUACACACUCAAGUUUAAGACCCACUGUCUGAUGCCAUGCAUUGAUCAAGAAUCUAAUUUGUUUUUGUGUAGAUUUUCCUACUGAAAAGAGCUCAUUGGAAAACAAGAAUGGAAAAGGUACAAUGCUUGCCCUCACAGAGUUUACAUUAUAAUAUGGAGACAAAACAUUUACUCUUCUAAGGGUAAUUUAAUAAGCAAUGAGUUAUUUACAGGUGAGGUGACAGGAUCAUGAUGUCUUGGGUUUGUUUUAAAUUAUUUUAGAGAAGGCUGCCUGGGUGACUUAGUUAAGUGGUCAGCUCUUGGUUUUGGCUCAGGUCAUGAUCUCAGGGUCCUGGGAUUGAGCCCUGCAUUGGGCUUCCAGGUCAGCACAGACUCUGGUAGUUUUUCUCUCUCCUCCUCCCUUGGCCUCCCCCUCCCCAACUGUUCACAGUCUCUCUCCCAAUUUCUCUAAAAUAAAUAAAUCUUUAAAAAUUAUUAUAGGGUGUUA
rnacentral:lncRNA from 1 species